UUCGAUUUGACUUGUCUUGUUUUCUAUCCAUUUAUAAAUUACUUUCUUCUGAAUCAGUCUCAGUAAGGUUAAUCGAAGGCCGGAAAAAAUUUUAUUAGCAAAAGAGAACAAAUUUUCUCUCAGCGUUACCGAUUUUAUGUUGUGUUCGAAAGAGAGGUUGGAAUCAGAACACUAAAAAUGGAAUACUUGAAGAUGCGUUCACCGCGGCUGUCCUGAUUAUGUUAUUAAUUGUUGUAAUAUUGGAGAUCUGUCCACAAUUGGCUCUUGGUGGUUCACCUGUCAAGUUUCUUCCUGGCUUUGAAGGACCACUUUCUUUUCAACUUGAAACCGGGUAAUUAACUUUUUCAUUCACUAUAUCUCUUAGUAAUGAGGCAAAAAUGGUUAUUAAAUGGAGAUGUUUGAUUGGUAUGUGAAAAGAAAAUACCGAAGGCCCCGGUUUCAUUAUGGACUGAUUGGCUUAAAGGGUAGAGUUCUAAUAAAGUAACUCGCAAAGAGGGAGUGUCCUAGCUGAUACCAACAGAUAAACUAGUAACAAAGAUAAGCAAAAACAGUUGAAAGUGGAAGGAGUUAACCUCUCAGCUUUAAAGUGAAAAAAUAUAUCAAUUGAUAGGAAUAGUUUUAUAAGCAUCCGUUAAUUUUUUGUGCCAAAUCUAGUAAAGAUUGCUUUCAUUAGUGUUCAUUGUUGAAUGACUGUUUUUAUCUAACCGAAAAGAUGAUUCGAAAGCAUCGUUUCUCUCAACACGCAAGACGAGAUCAUCAUCUUUUUCAGUGGUAAAUUUUAUUUGCUUCAUAAUAUUAGUCUUCAAUAUUCUUUCAUAGAUUUCGAAACUCCUACAGAUAGAAUAUCCAAGUGGGAGUAGCUGUAACGUAGUUUUCUCAUGUUUUCUUUAUGUGUCUGUUAGUCAACUCAUAGGAAUCCACUUCUCUACAUUUGUUUAUUGAUUUCUUUAUCUGAAAAUAUUGUAAUUACACUCUAAGGUUGUAUCGAAAAAUUAUUUACACACUUCAAUUUUUCAGUUUUUGUUACACCAUGCUUUUAUUCGUACAGUACAUCUUGCAACUUUAUUAACGUUAGGAAAAUAUGUAGAAUAGGAUUUAGCUUUGAG
rnacentral:lncRNA from 1 species